UGGGGAAUCUUGCGCAAUGGCCGAAAGGCUGACGCAGCGACGCCGCGUGGGGGAUGAAGGCCUUCGGGUUGUAAACCCCUGUUGCCCGGGACGAACAACACCAUUCGUGGUGUCUGACGGUACCGGGUGAGGAAGCACCGGCUAACUCUGUGCCAGCAGCCGCGGUAAUACAGAGGGUGCGAGCGUUGUCCGGAAUCACUGGGCGUAAAGGGCGCGUAGGCGGUCUGCUAAGCGUGUGGUGAAAGCUCGGGGCUCAACCCCGAGUCGGCCGUGCGAACUGGUGGACUCGAGCAUGUCAGAGGCAGGCGGAAUUCCGGGUGUAGCGGUGGAAUGCGUAGAGAUCCGGAAGAACACCGGUGGCGAAGGCGGCCUGCUGGGACAUGGCUGACGCUGAGGCGCGACAGCGUGGGGAGCAAACA
rnacentral:rRNA from 1 species